GCUUGACUUUGCAAUCAAUUUGGAUUUGAUUUGGGAAAAAGACUCGACGUUAGAUCGAGUGUUUGUUUUUGUUCUUUUCUAAAGGGGUUGAUUUUAAUCUUCUGUUAACAAUCAACUAGUACAGUAAAGUAAAUGAAAGCGGUAAAUUUAUUACACAUAUUUAGGAAUGGGGGUACAAUUUGUCAAAUGGGGAUACGACACAAUAAUUAAAUGAUACAAGCUUUGAAAGACAAUUGAAGAAAUAAAAGAAUCUCGUUGUAAGAAGGCCCAAGAGAAAGCCACGAGAUUGGAA
rnacentral:lncRNA from 1 species